UUUGGUUUGUCUUCAACAUUGAUUUGUCCUCAAGGUUUAUCUUCGCAAUGUUGAUAAACCCCUAUGGUCUUUUAACACCUGGUACUAAUAUAUAUUAGUGUGGAUUUUUUAACACCUGGUGACUAUGCCACCCCUAUGGGUGAUAGUGCCACCCCAUGUAAUUUCCGUUCAAUGCAUGCCUCGUGAUCUGUGCAAAGACUAUGAUACCAUCAUUCCUCCAUCAGGAUUUAGUUAAUGAGCAUGCUAAUGAUCACACUAAUACGAUCCCAGAAGACUAUGUGUCAAACUUAAGGUAUCAUAAUGUCAGAUCAUCGAUACUUAACCAAAAAGAUUCUUUAAUAGUAUAAAAGUAUUGUACCUUCUAACUUUCUAUAAUAGUAAAAAAAGAUGGUUGGUGAUUAAAACUUAUACCUAAAAGGAGUUCCCCAUGAACUUAGAACAUAUUCCCCGAAAAUAGAUCCAUGUGUAUACAUAGUAUCAACAUUCAAUAUUGGUAUUAUUUGGGGCUAAUGAACUCGUUUCAGUAUAAAUAGACAGCUGGAAGACUAAUCAAUGGCAGACCUAGAAGAUGCUACACAGAUUUUAAAGUGACAUCAGACGAAAGAGGUGACAAUGCUCUGGAUGGCAAAAACAUAGUUAUUAGGAUCACGGCCAGUAUAGAGAGCGAUCUGAUAUCCCCGAACUUGCAAAACUAACAACUAAGAAAAGAAAAAACACCCACGCACCAGGCCACGAACUGCCCACACUCCCACCCGACCCCCAUUCCCCCCGAUGCCCUGCCGCCACGGCGACCUCCGAGAUCCCGCCAUGGCGCGACCUUCUGGCGCCGCCUCCCCCGCCUCCUCCUAGAACCAGCGCCACAGACCUGCCUCCUUCCGGCGUGCCGCCGACCUCGGCCCGCCCCAACCGACGCCGCCUCCUUCCGGCGCGCCGCCGACCUCGCCCCAGCUCGACCGACCUCCCAUCAUCCUUUGCCGGCGACGGCCGGACCCCCGCGGCCGCGCUUCUAAGCUCUCCUUCUUCCUUCUCCUCACCCUCUCAUCGGCGCAGCAGCGCCCUAAAUCCUACGCGCAUCCCCACGCCGCCACCAGGGCCUGGAACCCCAGAUGUCGUCGCCGGUCUAGGAUCCUGGCGCGCGGCCACGGGGCUAUGGAUUCCCGUGUGCACCGCAUGGACCUGGAUCCCACACGCCACCGUUGCGCCAAAGGAUCCCCACACGCCGCCGCCGCCUACCCAAAGCGCCUCCACCGGCCGACAGCUCGGCGCUCCAUCAGUCCCAAUGGUGGAUCCAUGGUGGGCUGCUGGAUCUCGUCCCCUCCUCUGCGUGGAGCCCUGCUGGAGGCCCUCCUCCUCGACAGGAUGCUGUCCACCUAGGGCCAGUGGGAGCAAGCCGCCGUGGCUCUCCGAUGCUCCGGUGAGGUACUCCCAAUUAUCUCUACUGCUCUGGUGAGGCCACCCUCCUCUCCCUACCGUAGCCUCAAACUUUCCCUCGUCGCAGAAGAAGUUGGGUAAUGUGGCGCUGCUGUUGAUUGUCUAGGUUGUAGUCCAGAAAAGUUUUGGACAGAAGUUCAAGUGGUUCCACUCCUGUAAUUUAGAGAUAUUGAUGUUGAUGAUGAUGUAAAAAAAUUAACAGAAGUUCAAAAUUUGAAUGAAAAGGAAAAAAUAGCUCCAUUUUAAGAAGAAAACUGAAAAAGCCAUUGCCACAGUGCCGACCAUGAAGGUCUGAUGUUGAGAAGGUCAGGUGCAUGAUGCAUCUCCGGCCAUCCCCUUCCCACCUUGGCCUUAGACCAAAAGAUGACCUUCUUAGUUGAUGAUGUUAACCUUCAUCAUAAUUUUUUUUGCUCUGUUGUGCGGUGGAAAAUUUAAUUUUGUUGUUCUGUGAGCAGCAACUUGAGACUCCCAAGCUCUGCAGAUGUCUCUUGGAUGUGGCGUUCUUCUAUGUGCAGCUGAUGGGAACUCUCUGCUGCUGGAACAAUGAAAUUAACCGUGCGGCUAGAUCCCAAACUUUUGCUCAUCCCAUGCGCGAGAGUACAUCUAUCGAAGUUUACCUUGUUGUUUCUCUAAGACGUUCAAGUAUAAUUGUUUAAAAGGUUCAGUUAUGACCGCAACUGUGGGUUCAGAUAUACUCAGCACUAGGCUACCGCUACCUACAGCAGAACCUUGACUUGCUACACAUGGGCUGCACUUCAUGUUUACUUCAAAGACAGGAUACCAUAUGUGCAGUGCCUCAUGUGUAUAUCAGCUAGCUAAUGUUUCUGCAAAAAUUAGUGUUUGUAUAUAGCUUGUAUGUACAAACAUAGAUUUAGCCCAUUUUGGCACUACAAUUGCAUAGUUUUGGUAGUUCUACUUGUACAUAGUUCAUACAAUUUGUUUCUUUGUCUACUGAUGGCUAUGGCAAAUACGAUGCUACAUGGGAAAAUUGUGACGCACCUUCGCUUGGUGCCGCCACAGGACCAGUGCGCCCUCCUGUCCUCUGCUUUUAUCUGUGCGCAGCUAUGUGUCUCGCACCAUGGCUUGCCCCUGCUGCUGCUGGGAACAGUCAAAUUUGUGAUUGGCUUCGAAGACGUUCCACGAAGUCCCACUACAUGUAUACGUCAUGUUCUUCAGAGAUGUUCCGUGAAGUUCUACUACUGCUGAGCGACACUGUGGGCUCGUGUGUGCGGGUGCCAGUAUGGUGUGCUUGGUUCAUGUGUGCCUUGCAAGGUGCAUGUUUGCCAUGCUGGAUGCUGGCCAGCUCGCUCUUCCUGUGCAUCCAUGCUGCUCUAACCACACUUGUAAGCAGCAGCUAGUUCUCUCUCCGUGUGUUUAUUAAAAAAAGGAAGACCCCAAAUCAAUAAAAGAGCAUCAUGUUCUAGGGCA